GACGAACGCUGGCGGCGUGCCUAAUACAUGCAAGUAGGACGCAGUUGCGAACGGGUGAGUAACGCGUAGGUAACUGCCUAUUAGAGGGGGAUAACUAUUGGAAACGAUAGCUAAUACCGCAUACUAGUAGAUGGACCUGCGUUGUAUUAGCUAGUAGGUAGGGGAAUGGACUACAUAGGCGACGAUACAUAGCCGACCUUCGAGGGUGAUCGGUCACACUGGUACUUAGACACGGCCCAGACUCCUACGGGAGGCAGCAGUAGGGAGUCUUCGGCAAGGGGGGGAACCCUGACCGAGCAACGCCGCGUGAGUGAAGAAGGUGUUCGGAUCAUAAAGCUCUGUUGUUAAGGAAGCGGUACUUAACCAGAAAGGGACGGCUAACUACGUGCCAGCAGCCGCGGUAAUUC
rnacentral:rRNA from 1 species